rnacentral:piRNA from 1 species
UCCCAAGAAUCCUUGUUAAAUUUUUAAA